rnacentral:rRNA from 1 species
GAUGAACGCUAGCGGGAGGCCUAACACAUGCAAGCCGAGCGGUAUUGUUUCUUCGGAAAUGAGAGAGCGGCGUACGGGUGCGGAACACGUGUGCAACCUGCCUUUAUCUGGGGGAUAGCCUUUCGAAAGGAAGAUUAAUACUCCAUAAUAUAUUGAACGGCAUCGUUUAAUAUUGAAAGCUCCGGCGGAUAGAGAUGGGCACGCGCAAGAUUAGCUAGUUGGUGAGGUAACGGCUCACCAAGGCGAUGAUCUUUAGGGGGCCUGAGAGGGUGAUCCCCCACACUGGUACUGAGACACGGACCAGACUCCUACGGGAGGCAGCAGUGAGGAAUAUUGGUCAAUGGGUGCAAGCCUGAACCAGCCAUCCCGCGUGAAGGACGACUGCCCUAUGGGUUGUAAACUUCUUUUGUAUAGGGAUAAACCUACCCUCGUGAGGGUAGCUGAAGGUACUAUACGAAUAAGCACCGGCUAACUCCGUGCCAGCAGCCGCCGUAAUAC